UUGAACGCUGGCGGUAUGCUUAACACAUGCAAGUCGAACGGAAACGAUACUAGCUUGCUAGUAGGCGUCGAGUGGCGGACGGGUGAGUAACGCGUAGGAAUCUGCCUGAUAGUGGGGGAUAGCCCGAAGAAAUUCGGAUUAAUACCGCAUAAUCUAUUCGUAGUAAAGUGGGGGACUUUCGAGCCUCACGCUAUCAGAUGAGCCUGCGUAAGAUUAGCUUGUUGGUGGGGUAAAAGCCCACCAAGGCGACGAUCUUUAGCUGGUCUGAGAGGAUGAUCAGCCACAUCGGGACUGAGACACGGCCCGAACUCCUACGGGAGGCAGCAGUGGGGAAUAUUGGACAAUGGGGGCAACCCUGAUCCAGCAAUACCGCGUGUGUGAAGAAGGCCUGAGGGUUGUAAAGCACUUUCAAUUGUGAAGAAAAGUUAGCGGUUAAUAACCGUUAGCCUUGACGUUAACUUUAGAAGAAGCACCGGCUAACUCCGUGCCAGCAGCCGCGGUAAUACGGAGGGUGCAAGCGUUAAUCGGAAUUACUGGGCGUAAAGCGUGCGUAGGCGGUUUAUUAAGUCAGAUGUGAAAGCCCCGGGCUUAACCUGGGAACUGCAUUUGAAACUGGUCAACUAGAGUAUGGUAGAGGAAAGUGGAAUUUCUGGUGUAGCGGUGAAAUGCGUAGAUAUCAGAAAGGAACAUCAAUGGCGAAAGGCAGCUUUCUGGACCAAUACUGACGCUGAGGUACGAAAGCGUGGGUAGCAAACAGGAUUAGAUACCCUGGUAGUCCACGCCGUAAACGAUGAUAACUAGCCGUUGGGGGGAUUUACCCUUUAGUGGCGAAGCUAACGCGUUAAGUUAUCCGCCUGGGGAGUACGGCCGCAAGGUUAAAACUCAAAGGAAUUGACGGGGACCCGCACAAGCGGUGGAGCAUGUGGUUUAAUUCGAUGCAACGCGAAGAACCUUACCUGGUCUUGACAUCCUGCGAACUUUCUAGAAAUAGAUUGGUGCCUUCGGGAACGCAGUGACAGGUGCUGCAUGGCUGUCGUCAGCUCGUGUCGUGAGAUGUUGGGUUAAGUCCCGUAACGAGCGCAACCCCUAUCCUUAUUUGCCAGCACAUUAUGGUGGGAACUAUAAGGAGACUGCCGGUGAUAAACCGGAGGAAGGCGGGGACGACGUCAAGUCAUCAUGGCCCUUACGACCAGGGCUACACACGUGCUACAAUGGGAAGGACAAAGAGCCGCGAAGCCGCGAGGUGUAGCUAAUCUCAUAAACCUUUUCGUAGUCCGGAUUGGAGUCUGCAACUCGACUCCAUGAAGUCGGAAUCGCUAGUAAUCGUAGAUCAGAAUGCUACGGUGAAUACGUUCCCGGGUCUUGUACACACCGCC
rnacentral:rRNA from 1 species